rnacentral:rRNA from 1 species
GGAUGAGUGGCGAACGGGUGAGUAACACGUGGGAAAUCUGCCUAGGAGUGGGGGAUAACAUUCGGAAACGGAUGCUAAUACCGCAUAUCUUCAUAGACCGCAUGGUCUAUGAAUGAAAGACGGCUUUGCUGUCGCUCUUAGAUGAUCCCGCGGCGUAUUAGUUAGUUGGUGGGGUAAAGGCCUACCAAGACAAUGAUACGUAGCCGACCUGAGAGGGUGAUCGGCCACACUGGGACUGAGACACGGCCCAGACUCCUACGGGAGGCAGCAGUAGGGAAUCUUCCACAAUGGGUGCAAACCUGAUGGAGCAAUGCCGCGUGAAUGAAGAAGGUCUUCGGAUCGUAAAGUUCUGUUAUUAGUGAAGAACAAAUCGAGGAGUAACUGUCUCGAUUUUGACGGUAACUAACCAGAAAGUCACGGCUAACUACGUGCCAGCAGCCGCGGUAAUACGUAGGUGACAAGCGUUGUCCGGAAUUAUUGGGCGUAAAGGGAGCGCAGGCGGUUGGAAUAGUCUGAUGUGAAAGCCCACGGCUUAACCGUGGAAGGUCAUUGGAAACUGUCCAACUUGAAUGCAGAAGAGGUAAGUGGAAUUCCAUGUGUAGCGGUGAAAUGCGUAGAUAUAUGGAGGAACACCAGUGGCGAAGGCGACUUACUGGUCUGUGAUUGACGCUGAGGCUCGAAAGCGUGGGUAGCGAACAGGAUUAGAUACCCUGGUAGUCCACGCCGUAAACGAUGAGUGCUAAGUGUUGGAGGGUUUCCGCCCUUCAGUGCUGGAGUUAACG